AUUUUAAAAUGCUGUCAUUGUGAUUGCUGAAAUGCCUGUUCACUAUGAACCCAAGGGAACUCCUGCACCACCUUUUUGUAAUGCAUGCUAAGGAACAAGCAAUGCUGUGAUACAUUCGAAUUUUGGUGAUUACUUUGACUAUUGGUAACAACAAACAAUGGCAAUGAUAAGACCAGAUAUAAGCCUGUCUGUCUUUGAAGUUGUACCUUGGUACAAUGUUAUGAAUUAUGACCCUAAACAAUAUAUUUAAUGAAUUCAUCCUGCGAAGGAAUUUUCAUCAUGCGACAGAGCAUCCUCCCUACUGAACUCCAAGGCCUGCAUUGAUAUAUAUACCCUUAUUUUAAAUGGUGUACCAUUGCUUUCAUGGCAUAGAAAUGUACAUAUUCCCAUUACCCUCCAUUGUGUUUCUGAAGAACACUGCUAUGACAUAUGCACCAUUUGGAAUUAAUGCUUGUAACUGAUUUUAGCACCCUGAAUUUCCUAGUGGUUAUGUGUUAUCAUCCAGCACAUGAAUAUAUAAAUGCUCUAAACAUAUACAUAAAUAAUAUUUUAAAAAUGCAUGUUUAACUGAAAAAUACACAUAUCAUUAACUGCA